GAAGAAAGUUGGGGCUGUCGAUUGUGAAGAUGGGGAUGGUGAAGCGUGAAGGAAUGGGAUUUUGAGGGUUGAGGACACAAGACUGGAGAGGAAUGGAGAGGUUGGAGUCCUAGGAGAGGAAAGCCCGAGGGAGAGGAAGGGAAGGACGGAUGCUGAAGGACUGAAGGGAUGUGGGUGGAAUGGCUUAGAGACAGGAAGGGAAGCCGGUGGAUUGGGUCUUAGGACUAGGAGCCACGUUUUUGGAAGGGGUGCGGAAGGAUUGAACGGGAUGAGCUCUGAAGAGGGAAGAUGAGCUGUGAAUGUGUGAAGGGGAAGGUUUAGGAUUUGGGGUGAGAAGCUGUAGAGUUGGUAAGAGUAUCAAGAUGUGGGAGAAAUUAGUUUGCCCUUGAGGGAAAGUAGAGAGCUG
rnacentral:lncRNA from 1 species